rnacentral:rRNA from 1 species
AUACGGAGGAUCCGAGCGUUAUCCGGAUUUAUUGGGUUUAAAGGGUGCGCAGGCGGGAGAUUAAGUCGGCGGUGAAAUUUUGCAGCUCAACUGUAAAAGUGCCUUCGAAACUGGUUUCCUUGAGUGUAGAUGAAGUAGGCGGAAUUUGUGGUGUAGCGGUGAAAUGCAUAGAUAUCACGAGGAACUCCGAUUGCGCAGGCAGCUUACUAAACUACUACUGACGCUCAGGCACGAAGGCGUGGGGAUCAAACAGGAUUAGAUACCCUGGUAGUUCACGCAGUAAACGAUGAUUACUAGCUGUUUGCGAUACAAUGUAAGCGGCUGAGCGAAAGCGUUAAGUAAUCCACCUGGGGAGUACGGUCGCAAGAAUGAAACUCAAAGGAAUUGGCGGGG